GAUGAACGCUGGCGGCGUGCUUUACACAUGCAAGUCGAACGAACCUUCGGGUUAGUGGCGGACGGGUGAGUAACGCGUGAGAAUCUGCCCUCAGGAGGGGGACAACAGUUGGAAACGACUGCUAAUACCCCAUAUGCCGCGAGGUGAAAUGAAUUUCGCCUGAGGAUGAGCUCGCGUCUGAUUAGCUAGUUGGUGUAGGUAAUGGCUCACCAAGGCAUCGAUCAGUAGCUGGUCUGAGAGGAUGAUCAGCCACACUGGGACUGAGACACGGCCCAGACUCCUACGGGAGGCAGCAGUGGGGAAUUUUCCGCAAUGGGCGAAAGCCUGACGGAGCAACGCCGCGUGAGGGAUGAAGGCCUCUGGGCUGUAAACCUCUUUUAUCAAGGAAGAAGAUCUGACGGUACUUGAUGAAUAAGCCACGGCUAAUUCCGUG
rnacentral:rRNA from 1 species